CGCGAGAUUAGCUUGCUUUAGAAGAUGACUGCAAGCAGGAGAUGAUAAACUGAAUGCAUGAUAAUGAAGGAAGCCUUCUACCAAAUGUGAAAUUCAUGAACCCUGGGUCAGGGAUUCCGGACCCCUGGGUAAGGCCAAUGUGGCCUCAUAGUGAAAAUGUUUCACUUGCUUGCUCAUGCACAGCAGUGUCAAGAUCCAUGCAAUGUUUGUGAAUGUCAUGUACAUUGAAUAGACUUCAAAAAUAUUUUAAAAUAGAUCAAGAUCCAAGCAACUGAGGACACUGGAAAUUGUGGCCAGUAACACAACGGUUGCCAUGACAAUUUAGUAUUUUGAAUUAAAAUAUAGUCUAAAUGAGAAUCAUGCCUGUUGAAGUGUAAUAUGAUU